GUUCAAAGUUAUCUUUAACCCUUUCACGUAUAACGGUCACUACAGUGGACAAAUCUUCAAAGGUCAUUUUCUAUUAUAAAAAUAGAGGUUUGAUGUUACAAAUGCAUGUUAGCCACUACAGUAGACCCUGGAAAAUGAGUCCAACACUGGUGCCAUCUGGCCAUGUGUUGCAACUGCAGAAAAAACACGUCAACAUUCAAGAUGGCUGCCUCUGCUGAGAACAGACCCUCCACCUCUGGGAUUUCCACUGCUUCCUUUUAUAAAAGCAGAGCCCUGCAGGUAAAAAAAAUAUUUUGGGAUAAAGUAACAUCUAAUAAUUACUAUAGUUGCAAAAAAUUCCAUGCAUUGCUUUUAUGUUCUGAGGAAAUUGGAAUUUUCCAUUUGUCCACUACGGUGGACAGCAUGCAUGACUUAUACUAUUUCUACUACAAUACAUGCAAAUGGUGUAACUCCUUAUCUCUGCAAAAUGCUUGAUUUCAAGCUUACCUUUUCAGUUAAAACCAACCAUUUUAUGUUAUUAAAAGGUAACCUGUAUUGUAUGUAUCAAAAAAUUAAUGUUGUGCAUGUAUUUUAUAUUUUGUGCAUGCAUAGUAUAUAUUGUAUUUUGUGCAGCCUUUGUGCAAGUUUUGCAAUGUUUGUAAAACAUUUUUUGCAAAAAUAUAUUUUGUGCACGCAUUGUAACACACACACACACACACAUACACACACACACACACACACACACACACACACACACACACACACACUACAAACAGUGCAUGCACAAAAUAUUAUAAAAACAAUGGAAAAAAUAUAUAUACAUAUAUAAGAUAAAUAGAAAGAAAGAUUGAUUGGUUGUGCAAUAUUUUUCACAUUAUGUUAUUUAUUAUAUGCAGGGUUCACACACAGAGAGGGACCAGAGGAAGUACAGAAAUGUAGAGGAACUGCCAUCGUCCAGCGAUGCAAUAUCACUGUGUGCCUUCUUUUCAAAUGUGAACUAAUGUAGUACAGGGCAUCGACAACUGAAUGUGUUUGGAUAGUCACUAAGUCACUAUUUCUUUUGUUUAUUAUCGUAAUUAUUAUUUUCAUGAAUGAUCCAAUCUAUGGCAUUUGUUUUUGCUUUGAGUGUGCUGGCUGAAGUUGUAGCACCUGGCCUGAAGCCUAAUUAGGCUCAUGGUUUCAGUUCGUUUGACACAGAUGACAGUUGUUGUUGCUGUUGUUUGACACAAGCCAUGUUUUGUAAUGUGCAUUUAAACAGAAUUUAAAUGUUUUAAAAUGUGAAUCUAAUUGUUUUGACUCCUUUUUGGGGUGGGGUUCUAUUAUUUGUAUUAAUACAAUUCAUUUUCUGUAAUGUCGACCAAAUGCAUGUUGUCCGCUGUAGUGGACAUGUCACUAAAAACUUAGCAGAAACAGGUAAAAAAAAAAUUCCAACUGCAAUAUUAUUUAUAUGCCUUAUAUUGAAUAAAAACACAUAGUAAGAAUUUUUUAACUCAAUAUAUCAUAAUUCAUGCAUGAAAGGGUUAAU
rnacentral:lncRNA from 1 species